rnacentral:pre_miRNA from 1 species
CGGGGGAGGUCGGAUCCUAGGCUGUGUCCCCCCAUGUCCCGGGCUCCGGGGCCUGCGCUGUUGGAUUUGUGCUCCUGGCCGCACAGCCGCCU